GGCUCAGGAUGAACGCUAGCUACAGGCUAACACAUGCAAGUCGAGGGGCAGCAGGACGAUAGCUUGCUAUGUUGCUGGCGACCGGCGCACGGGGUGAGUAACGCGUAUCCAACCUGGCCCGUAGUAGGGAAUAGCCCGGCGAAAGUCGGAUUAAUGCCCUAUGUUUUCCUUUGAGGACAUCUGAUUUGGAAUAAAGGUUCACCGCUAUGGGAUGGGGAUGCGUCUGAUUAGCUUGUCGGCGGGGUAACGGCCCACCGAGGCAACGAUCAGUAGGGGUUCUGAGAGGAAGGUCCCCCACAUUGGUACUGAGACACGGACCAAACUCCUACGGGAGGCAGCAGUGAGGAAUAUUGGUCAAUGGGCGAGAGCCUGAACCAGCCAAGUAGCGUGCAGGAAGAACCUGCCCUAUGGGUUGUAAACUGCUUUUAUGCGGGAAUAAAGUGCACUACGUGUAGUGUUUUGUAUGUACCGCAUGAAUAAGGACCGGCUAAUUCCGUGCCAGCAGCUGC
rnacentral:rRNA from 1 species